rfam:Candidatus Nasuia deltocephalinicola str. NAS-ALF, complete genome.
UGGUCUAUAGCUUAAUUGGUUUGAGCAUUGCCUUGAUAAGGCAAAGGCUGCAGGUUCGAUUCCUGCUAGACCUA